rnacentral:misc_RNA from 1 species
AAGUCGUAACAAGGUUUCCGUAGGUGAACCUGCGGAAGGAUCAUUACCGAGUAUUGGGUCUCAGUGCCCGCACUCCAACCCUUUGUGUACCUAAAAUCGUUGCUUUGGCGGGCCCGCGGUGUAAUGCCGCUGCCGGCUCACGCUGGUUAGCGCCCGCCAGAGAACCGUUAAACUCUUAUUUAUUCAGUGUCGUCUGAGCAAAAUUUAAUAAUCAAAACUUUCAACAACGGAUCUCUUGGUUCUG